rnacentral:tRNA from 1 species
GGAGGGGUGCCGGAGCGGUCGAUCGGGGCGGUCUCGAAAACCGUUGUGCCCCUUAUAAGGGCACCGUGGGUUCGAAUCCCACCCCCUCCGCCA